rnacentral:rRNA from 1 species
AUGGCCAAGCGACCGGAGCCCUCUUCUCCACGCGAUCGGACUGGUGCGCGUGGGAUCCCUGGCCGCACCGCGCCAAAACGCCUCGUCGCCCUCUCUCUCCCAUGGCUGCAUCGGGCCAGAACAACAGCCAUGGCCGCCACGGGUCGUGCUCCCGCUGCUGAAGUGUCGCCUCCGUCAAGAAGGACGGGAGUUGCCACGCCGGAGUCCGGCACUGUCGCCUCCUUGGAUCAUGUAAACCAUGCGGAUGAGAACGGUCACUACUCCACCUCGUACAGCAUGUCGUCGACAGUGGCACCGGAGGCAGCAACCUGCGACAUAGACUUGCCGCCACCGCACGUAACAGAAGACCAGGAGUAUGACACAACCACCAUGAUUGGAGAAAGGGGUCGGGAGGACGAUGUGAUCGAGAGUGGUCGUGGAGCUGAUGGGGUGGUUGAUAAAGUUGGGCAAGCUUUGAUCGUUCCCAAAGUUGGAAUGUCAUUCGAUUCAGAGGAGAAAGCAUAUGACAUGUACAACACAUAUGCCGGCAAGAUUGGGUUUAGUAUCAGAAGGAACCAGACAAAGCGCCGCCAAGAUCAAACUAUAUACCAGAAAUAUAUAGUUUGCAAAGCGGACAUAGCGCUAAUUGGUCAGAUACGUGAAGCUGGGCUGAAGCCAUCUCAGGUGUAUGAUUUCAUGGUAGCGUUCUACGGAGGAGUCCACAAAGUGCCAUUCUCAAAAAUGGAUUGCAAUAAUGAGAUUGAUGUGUACGGGCAGCCUGUGACCAUGCAUGCUCCUUUCGUCCAAGGCGGCUUUACAAGUCUUCUACAAGGAGUUCAACAAGAAGCCACAUUGUUCUCGUCUGUUAGAAAGCUACAUUUCGAUAAAUAG